rnacentral:rRNA from 1 species
UACGUAGGGGGCAAGCGUUGUCCGGAAUUAUUGGGCGUAAAGAGCGCGUAGGCGGUCCGAUAAGUCGGCUGUGAAAGUCAGGGGCUCAACCCUUGAAAGCCGGCCGAUACUGUCGGACUAGAGUCCGGAAGAGGCGAGUGGAAUUCCCGGUGUAGCGGUGAAAUGCGCAGAUAUCGGGAGGAACACCGGUGGCGAAGGCGGGUCUCUGGGCCGAUACUGACGCUGAGGAGCGAAAGCGUGGGGAGCGAACAGG